AAUUAAAGUUUCUCCCACAUCUCAAUCACCCACACAUCGUCCAGCACAAGGAAUUUAUCAAAGAUUCUGACUGUCUGUAUCUUGUACUGGAGCACUGUGAUGGUGGAGAUCUCGCUCAGAAAAUC